rnacentral:tRNA from 1 species
CGCCGAUAUGGACGACGCGGUCGAGGCCGUCGAAGCCGGCCAGGCGCGGGCCCGGUUCGACCUCGAAAUCGGCGU